rnacentral:rRNA from 1 species
UACGUAGGGUGCAAGCGUUAAUCGGAAUUACUGGGCGUAAAGCGUGCGCAGGCGGUUUUGUAAGUCUGUCGUGAAAGCCCCGGGCUCAACCUGGGAAUUGCGAUGGAGACUGCAAGGCUUGAAUCUGGCAGAGGGGGGUAGAAUUCCACGUGUAGCAGUGAAUGCGUAGAGAUGUGGAGGAACACCGAUGGCGAAGGCAGCCCCCUGGGUCAAGAUUGACGCUCAUGCACGAAAGCGUGGGGAGCAAACAGG